GUGCCUAACACAUGCAAGUCGAACGAGAAAGUCCCGCAAGGGAUGAGUACAGUGGCGACCGGGUGAGUAACACGUGGACAACCUGCCACCGAGUGGGGAAUAACCCUGGGAAACCGGGGCUAAUACCGCAUAACACUUUUGAACUUCGGUUUGGGAGUUAAAAUCCGCAAGGAGCUUGGUGAGGGGUCCGCGGCCGAUUAGCUAGUUGGUGAGGUAACGGCCCACCAAGGCGAUGAUCGGUAGCCGGCCUGAGAGGGCGGACGGCCACACUGGAACUGAAACACGGUCCAG
rnacentral:rRNA from 1 species